UUCCAAACUGGCAAAGCGCCCGCUAUGUCUCAAACUCCAGCGACUGGCAAGGACAGGGAAGCAGUGUGAAACCACAGACAGAAGGAUGGCCUGAUGAACGCAGAGAAUUGGACGUAUUGCCCUCCUUCCGUCUGGGGAUGGGGUGCAUGGCCACAGGGUCACGUGUCUACUGUCCACACGGCCCAGCCCUCCAGGUCAUUUCCGCAUUACUGAUCAGCAGUCUGGGUUGCGCUGGGCUCUGCGACCUGACUCUUCCUGACCUUCUCUGGACUUUGGCAACCCAGGCCUGCAGUGGGAAGAGAAGGCGAAGAAAGGAAAGGCCUGGAUGUGAGAGAAAAAAACCUGAGGCACCAGCAGAGAGCCUGACUUCACAGCUCGCGGUUACACGUGUUCUCCCAUUUGAUCCAAACCAUCCACUGAGGCAGCAUUUCUCAGCUCAAAGGGUUACGUGACUCUCCUGGGGUUACAGAGAUGGUUUUCUGUGGAAGAACCCAGGCCACUGACAUGCACUGAUUCCUGCAGUCUGCACCUUGCUGAUGGCACACUCACGGUGAAUUGCUGCAAACUGGUGGCUGGUACCAGACACGGGACUGGACUCAAGUCUGAUUUCUCUGGCAAGACUGCAGUGGGACAUAAUGCCUGACUGUCUCUCAUUAUGGGGUUAGCAAUCAUUGAUGCACAGUGCAUCAUCAUUGAAGGUUACAAAAAUGUUC